rnacentral:rRNA from 1 species
GGAUGCGAUCAUAACAGCACUAAAGCACCGGAUCCCAUCAGAACUCCGAAGUUAAGCGUGCUUGGGCGAGAAUAGUACUAGGAUGGGUGACCUCCUGGGAAGUCCUCGUGUUGCAUUCC